GACAUGCAGUAAUGAGGACGGCACCAGUAUAAAGCAACACACUCCACGCACUAAACAGAAGCUGCUGCCUGCUACGACAAGGUCAUUGUGUGGACAUUGGCUACUACUACAAGAGUCUAUGCCAAGCACAUCUUGGUCAUCACAGGAGCUCCUAUCUGCACCAACAGGAAGGGGCUGGAGCCGAAUUUGCAAGGCUUUUACACCAAGAACAAAGAAGCACAUGCACAAGAAUAUGGAUGAGAUAUCAAGUCUGCAAAGGACUGUGUUAAGACUGCAAAGAGCUUCAGCCAGCAUUCCACCAGCACGGACAUUUGGCUGAGUCAUCCAAGUAACUCAAAAAGGACUUUCUAGAAAUUCUUCGUCUUCAGAUGCACCUGCAACAUCUGGCCAAGCACGGACGACGCUGGCCAAAAGAUUGAGUUUCAUCAGUUCGUCCUUAAUCAGCUUCCAAGCCGUGUUAAUUCCGUUUGUGCGAAGUGUAAUUUUUCUUCUAUAAAUGCAAGCUUUCUCAUUGCC